rnacentral:misc_RNA from 1 species
AAACCUCAAUGCCCCUCCGGCCCUUGCUUGGAGCGGCGUCUUGGGCCCCAGUUGUCGCGGGGGUUGGGCGCUUGCCCUCCCCCGCGUGGCCUUGAAGAAAUUGACAUCUGUCCGUGGGCGCGAGAUCCGUUAGGACUGUUGAGCCCUUAUGGACAGAGGCAUCGCUUCUGUGCGCUUCUGCGCUGAACA